rnacentral:rRNA from 1 species
UACGUAGGGUGCGAGCGUUAAUCGGAAUUACUGGGCGUAAAGCGUGCGCAGGCGGUUCGUUAAGACAGAUGUGAAAUCCCCGGCUUAACCUGGGAACUGCAUUUGUGACUGGCGAGCUAGAGUAUGGCAGAGGGGGUAGAAUUCCACGUGUAGCAGUGAAAUGCGUAGAGAUGUGGAGGAAUACCGAUGGCGAAGGCAGCCCCUGGGCCAAUACUGACGCUCAUGCACGAAAGCGUGG